rnacentral:rRNA from 1 species
UACGUAGGUGGCAAGCGUUGUCCGGAUUUACUGGGCGUAAAGGGCGUGCAGGCGGUCUGUUAAGUGCAGGGUGAAAGCUCCCGGCUCAACUCGGAGAGGUCCUUGCAUACUGGCGGACUUGAGGGGGGUAGAGGAAAGUGGAAUUCCCGGUGUAGUGGUGAUAUGCGUAGAUAUCGGGAGGAACACCUGUGGCGAAGGCGGCUUUCUGGGCCGUACCUGACGCUGAGACGCGAAAGCGUGGGGAGCAAACAGG